rnacentral:rRNA from 1 species
CAAUAGCGUAUAUUAAUGUUGUUGCAGUUAAAAAGCUCGUAGUUGGAUUUCUGGUGGGAGCGGCCAGUCCGCCGUAAGGUGUGUACUUGGUUGUCUCCUGUCAUCCUUGUGGGAACUGCUCUGGCAUUAAGUUGUCGGGGUUAGGGAACACAUCGUUUACUGUGAAAAAAUUAGAGUGUUUAAAGCAGGCUUAUGCCGUUGAAUACAUUAGCAUGGAAUAAUAAGAUAGGACUUUGGCGUCUAUUUUGUUGGUUUGCACACCAAGGUAAUGAUUUAUAGGGAUAGUUGGGGGUAUUCGUAUUUAAUUGUCAGAGGUGAAAUUCUUGGAUUUAUGAAAGACGAACUUCUGCGAAAGCAUUUACCAAAGAUGUUUUCAUUAA